rnacentral:sRNA from 1 species
GCGCUUGGAUCCUCCGCGUGCUGUCGUCGCUUUGCGCACGGCAGGAGCUUUGUCUUCAGUUCCUCCGUCUGCUGAAUUUGUUAGUUUCGUAUCCAGCGCCUUGCGUCGUCUUUUGGCCGUGAGCAUGGGAGCGCGACGACGACGCUUUGGCUUGGUUAUGGCCUGGGCAGAGCCUGAGGGCAUCGGAACGAAGGCCGAGUCCGCAUUUGUUGGCAAUGUCAAGUUGCUAAGCGAAGAAAGCAGUCAUUAGACAUAAACUUGAAUGUUUAACUGGACACUUACCUGGGCUUUGGCUUGCGGACCACCUCAUCUUCAUCGUCGUCGUCCUCAUCUUCUUCGCUGUCUGGAUUUGCAGCGGGGACAAAUUUUGGUUUCUUCAGUUCAAAGCCGCGGAACUUGUGGCUAUCAACGAUACAACAAAUAUAAGUAAAUUGUUUUUUAUAUGAUUUGACUCGAUUCGUAAUGGAAAAUGUGAGUUUAAAACUUAAAAAUUAAUUUUAAAAGUACAAACGCAUUAGGAGGCGGUGAUAGUGCCAAGUUUUAUGACAAAAAAGAUCAAAUCUCAGCUGGAAUCUUACACCAGUUGGAUAAGCCAAAUAAAUCAAGAGGAUAAACAUGCAAAUGGCAACUAAGACAA